rnacentral:rRNA from 1 species
GACGAACGCUGGCGGCAUGCCUAACACAUGCAAGUCUAGGGGUAGCAAUACCACUGGCGCACGGGUGAGUAACACGUAGGUUAUCUGCCCCCAUCACAGACAUAACCCCGGGAAACCGGGGCUAAUAUCUGAUGAGGUCGCGAGAUCAAAGCUUCGGCGGAUGGGGAUGAGCCUGCGGCUGAUUAGCUAGUUGGUGAGGUAAUGGCUCACCAAGGCGACGAUCAGUAGCUGGUCUGAGAGGACGAACAGCCACACUGGAACUGAGACACGGUCCAGACUCCUACGGGAGGCAGCAGUGAGGAAUAUUGGUCAAUGGGAGCAAUCCUGAACCAGCAAUGCCGCGUGUGGGAUGACAGGGCUUCGCCUUGUAAACCACUGUCGGACGGGACGAAAGGAGGCCUCGGGCCUCUGGGACGGUACCGUCAAAGGAAGGGUCGGCUAACUACGUGCCAGCAG